UUAUGCGAAAUACCUGGUGUGAAUUGCAGAAUCCCGUGAACCAUCGAGUCUUUGAACGCAAGUUGCGCCCGAAGCCAUUAGGCCGAGGGCACGCCUGCCUGGGUGUCACACAUCGUUUCCCCAACGCAAACAUGUAACAAUGUUGCUGCGCGGGGUGUAUGCUGACCUCCCGCGAGCACCCGCCUCGUGGUUGGUUGAAAUCUGGGUUCAUGGCCGACUUCGCCGUGAUAAAAUGGUGGAUGAGCCACGCUCGAGACCAAUCACGUGCGAGCCGGUCAGUUCUGGACCCAUCGACGACCCUUUGCGUGCACGCACGCUCCCAACGAGACCUCAGGUCAGGCGGGGCUACCCGCUGAGUUUAAGCAUAUCAAUAAGCGGAGGAAAAGAAACUAACAAGGAUUCCCUUAGUAACGGCGAGCGAACCGGGAAAAGCCCACCAUGAAAAUCGGUCGCCCUCGGCGUCCGAAUUGUAGUCGGAGAAAGCGUCAA
rnacentral:rRNA from 1 species